rnacentral:lncRNA from 1 species
GGUCAUCUUCGUAAGAACUUGUAGCAGUGUUCACCGAUAAUAUUCCGUACUGAUCGGUCUUCAUGCUCUGCGGCCUAGUAUCAAACCAUCUACACUUGAAGAGGUGCACUGUCAUGCCUUGCCCAUAAACGAGUUCCACCACUGAAUGGAGAACACCGUAAUAGUCAACUCCAUUCCGCCCACCAUGUGCCAUGACCCCAAAAUUCUGUGUUCUCCUUCUGCUGUCUCUUUGUUCGCAUAUAAAUUGCACGCCAUUCACCUUGCACAUCGGAUAAACUCUUGACAUUAUCGGCUUCAUCGCUAGAAGUCUUAGUUCGUGCGACCAAUUUGGGUGACCAUCAAAUUGAAUAUGGUUCAUCUGCAACCAACCAUUCAACUGUAAAUAUGGAUAAUUAUGCAAUAAACAUAAACACGUACAGAAAAAUUAAAUUACGUACCCAGCCGCCAAAAUAAUCCUGCGAACUCCCUGUUGUGGUACUCGAGAUCACCUUGAAUGUCUGGACAAUAUAGAUGGAUGUCUUUCCAGUAUUCAACUUCUGGACAGUUAAUCAAUACCCACCAGUGGGCAAUGACUAGCUCAUGUGGUUGCAACUUGUAGGAGUCUGACAAAAUUCCAUAUACUACAACAUCACUGGAGACUAUGGAAAGAUUGAACUUCGGUACAUCUACCGGCAUGGUUUGCGGAGUUUCCUUCAACGCUCCUAAAUACAACUUCAUGUAGGUGACGCACUCGUGCGCAAUAUAUGCUUCAGCUAUACAUCCUUCAGGCGCGGAUUUAUUAGCCACAUAAUCUUUGUAGUCUCCAAGUUGCCUGUAAAUCAAGUUGCAAAAUGUUAUGAUUAUUGAACAUGUAUAUAUAUUGAGGAAUUCAGGUGUAAAAAACGUACCUUUCCAUGGGAUACAUCCAAGUGUAGUGUACUGGACCGGUAAGCAACAAUUGCUCGGGAAGAUGGAUCAUCAGGUGAGGCAUGAUGUCAAAAAAAUUUGGAGGAAAUAUCCUCUCAAAUUUACACAUGA